rnacentral:lncRNA from 1 species
AACUAAAUCAAGGAAAAUAAGAAAUAGAAUAUGACUUGACACUGUAAAAGUUUUCUUCCAUAAGUUGAUAAUAUGAAACAUCUUCCUUACUAAUUUAGAAGGAAGCACUGAUAUGAAAACUUUCCUUGGGGUGCUAAUCACUUUUAAUUUUGUUUAACUCCAGGGAUAUGGUUCCCAUCUGAUUUAUACCACAGCCUAAUCCCUUGCUACACAAAGAGAGAUCCAUGAGCGAGCAUUGUGGGCAUUCCCUGAGAAAUUACUAGAAAUGCCAAAUCCCAGGACAUACCACAGAUCUACUGUUUCAGAAUUUGCAUUUUAAAUAAAAUCCCUCAGCAGUGUCCAUGAACAUUUGGGAAACACUGACCUAAUCUUUACAUAUUUAAUUUGUACACACACACACACACACACACCCACACAUACAUACAUAAUACACAUCUUACAUUGGGUUUAUUGAAGUACAUUUAACAGAAAAUAAAUUCACCUUUUUAAGGUUUACAGUUCUAUGAGAUUUGACAAAUGUGAUUCAGUCAAGAAACCAGGACUAUGUUAACGAAAUUGAAUAUUUUCAUCACCCCAUAAAGUUCUUUCAUGCUGGUUUGCAGUUAAACACUUCCUCCCAUCCCCAUCCCCUGGCAACCACUAACCUGUU